UCCGGAUUGGUGUAGGGGUUAACAUUGCCGCCUCUCAGCACGGCUACGUAAUGUGUGGUCGCGGCAGCCCGGGGUUCGAUUCCCCGAUCCGGAA